CCUACGGGAGGCAGCAGUGAGGAAUAUUGGUCAAUGGUCGGGAGACUGAACCAGCCAAGCCGCGUGAGGGAGGAAGGUACAGAGUAUCGUAAACCUCUUUUGUCAGGGAACAAAGGCGGGGACGUGUCCUCGGAUGAGUGUACCUGAAGAAAAAGCAUCGGCAAACUCCGUGCCAGAAGCCGCGGGAAUAGGGAGGAUGCGAGCGUUAUCCGGAUUUAUUGGGGUAAAAGGGAGGCAAGGGGGACUGUAAAGUCAGCGGGAAAAGCCCGGGGCUCAACCCCGGCCCGCCGUUGAAACUGGCAGUCUCGAGUUGGAGAGAGGUAUGCGGAAUGCGCGGUGUAGCGGUGAAAUGCAUAGAUAUCGGGCAGAACUCCGAUUGCGAAGGCAGCAUGCCGGAUCCACACUGACGCUGAGGCACGAAAGCGUGGGUAUCGAACAGGAUUAGAUACCCGAGUAGUC
rnacentral:rRNA from 1 species